rnacentral:rRNA from 1 species
GACGAACGCUGGCGGCGUGCUUAACACAUGCAAGUCGAACGGAAAGGCCCUGCUUUUGUGGGGUGCUCGAGUGGCGAACGGGUGAGUAACACGUGAGUAACCUGCCCUUGACUUUGGGAUAACUUCAGGAAACUGGGGCUAAUACCGGAUAGGAGCUCCUGCUGCAUGGUGGGGGUUGGAAAGUUUCGGCGGUUGGGGAUGGACUCGCGGCUUAUCAGCUUGUUGGUGGGGUAGUGGCUUACCAAGGCUUUGACGGGUAGCCGGCCUGAGAGGGUGACCGGCCACAUUGGGACUGAGAUACGGCCCAGACUCCUACGGGAGGCAGCAGUGGGGAAUAUUGCACAAUGGGCGGAAGCCUGAUGCAGCAACGCCGCGUUCGUGAUGACGGCCUUCGGGUUGUAAACCGCUUUCGCCUGUGACGAAGCGUGAGUGACGGUAAUGGGUAAAGAAGCACCGGCUAACUACGUG